CCUACGGGUGGCAGCAGUGGGGAAUAUUGGGCAAUGGAGGCAAGUCUGAUCCAGCGACGCCGCGUGAGGGAGGAAGUCUUUCGGUUUGUAAACUUCUAUUAGCAGGGACGAACAGAAGCCGUUACCCAUUGAAUAAGCCCCGGCUAACUACUUCCCAGCACCCGCGGUAAUACGUAGGGGGCAGCAGUUUUCCGGAUUUACUGGUUGUAAAGGGAGGGCAGCCGGGAAGACAAGUCAGAUGUGAAAGGCCGCGGCUCAACCUCGGAACUGCAUUUGAAACUGUUUUGCUGGAGUACAGGAGAGGUAAGUGGAAUUCCUAGUGUAGCGGUGAAAUGCGUAGAUAUUAGGAAGAACACCAGUGGCGAAGGCGGAUUACUGGACGAUAACUGACGGUGAGGCGCGAAAGCGUGGGGAGCAAACAGGAUUAGAUACCCGGGUAGUC
rnacentral:rRNA from 1 species